ACUCUCAUUUGGUUCUCCACACAAAUGCUGCCUAACAUCAACGGAGAAGAAAAAGUUGACGACGUCCAUGCAAAUCGCACAUGGCUACACCACCCAGCUCCCCUCCUCCUCUUCCUGAGUCAGCAACACCUUCACUUUCUACGUCGAAGAAGACAAGAAAAACAACACGGCUCAGAUCAUUGGCUACUAGACCAGUUGGGGUGGAGAGACUAAUGGUUGAUGUGGAUCUUACCACUGCAAAAGCUGAUGCUUCCCACAGAAAGAAAUUAAGAAUGUAUUUGGUGAUCAUUGUUUGCGAUAAGGUGGAUGUUACAUAUGAUAAUUGGAAACAAGUCCCUACAACUCAAAAGAAUUUGAUCUAGGAAGAUAUUCAGCAUCUUCCGAUUUGAGGACAAAGAAAAAAAAAUACUUCAGACUGUAAGAGAGCGAUGGAGGCAGUUUAAGUCAGAUUUGACCUCCAAAUGGGUUCUAGCAGACGACAAGGAGGACGACAAUGAUAAAGUAUGUGAAAAGUACGACAUAAGCAAAGAGAAAUGGAACUAGUUUUGUCAAAAUCGUAGAGAUCCUUCAUGGGAGGUUAGUUGAUUUUGAUUGUUUAUUAAACUUCAUAUUUACGCAUUAUUGUCAAACAUAUUAAGUUAUCUUAAUCUGUAACUAUUACAAGAUGUUUGAAAGAUGGCGCAGGCCAUUAAGAAACAAAACAUUGUCCCUCACGUGUUGUCUCGUGGAGGUUAUGCUUUUCUAGAAUAAAAGUUUAUGGAUGACAAGAAAAAGAAACAAUUAGAGGAAACAACCCAAUCCAAGAGCACUGACACAAUUAUUGAUCCUCCAUCUUCCAUUAGACGACAUGUGAAGUGGAAGAUGACCCACACAGAAAAAUCUAGUCAAAUGACAUUUGAGGCAGCAAAGGAAAUUACAGAUAGGAUUAUUCCCUGGAAGAAUAGGCCCCACAAGGAAGCUUUGUUGCCCAUGGACGUUAGGAUGUACUGACUAUUGUCAUUGGGCAACCAGAGCACCCUGGUCGUUUCCGUGUUGCUGGAGAUAGUGUCACAAUCAAACAAUACUUUGGAUCUGCUUCAAGAAGCUCCCGCAAGUCUACGUCCAUGGCUCCUGAAGACCUAGAGCAAUUGACACAAAAAAUCAGGGACCAGCUGGAGGAGUCGAUCAUAGAAAAAGUGACUCAACAACUAAUGUUGUUCUUCGGCCAGAUGCAAUCACAAGAACUUGCAUUGCCUCCUGAGCCUAAGAUUGGUCCUUCUGCUGCUUGUGUUAGCAUAAAAGGAAGUUAUGUUGAUACCUCGGGGCAGGAAUCAGACAUGGGUGACUCAAAGAAAUAUGAGUUGUAUGUUGAUGACAAUCCUUCCCGCUUGGUUUCCCUUGUAAGAGUUUAUGAGGGAUCAACGACCAUCCACAACACCCGUUUGGGCAACGAUCAAGUCAAGGUUGAUGUUCAGGAAGUUCGACAUACUGAUGCUUGCAUUCCUGUACCCACUCAAGAGGUUUAGUUAGUGGGACAAAUACUUAACACCUUCCUUGCUUGACUAACACAUCUUGUAAAAUCUUUUUCAGAACAUGUAUUUCAUUUUUUUUGUUUUUAAGAAUUAUUAAAAAAGGAUUGAUUACAAAUAAAGUGUUGAUUCUCUCCACUUAUGUUUUUUAACUGUGUAGGAUAAACGAGAGCUGAUGGACUGGCGAAACCUGUAGAUUGGUCGGAUCCUAAUGUCAAUCCGCUAUACCAAAUGACAUUGACCAUCCCACAACUUUUCUUCAAGCCUUUGAGGUGUCAUCGGAUGCUACUGUAUUUGGGGUGUAUAAUAAUAACUUCUCCUUGUACAUAAAACAUGAAAAUAUUUCUGAAAUAGCACACAGUGGUCAAGUCUCAGCAUCUUUGUUAUACAAUUAUAGAUUUUGUAAGUCACUUUACA